UAUUCAGGUCAUUUAUGGCAAGCUUCAGAGAUGAUGCCAUGACCCUGUAGUAUUGGACAAUUAUUCUGUCAAGGUAUGCCCUAGCCGGACUAGUGAUAUCACAGAGUUACAAAGCAGAAUGAAAGAUUCUACUUAAACAGCUUCAUUUUAGGGAGGCAUAAAUUGUAGUCCAGAAGGAUUAAAGACUUUGUGACAUCAUAAAGAGAAAUCCACCAUCAGCUCUUGAAAAUUUUUCCUUAACCAUGGUCUCUUGGAAAUAUUACCUUUAUGAUUGUAGUUAGUCUUACAAGAUCCCCCAUACGGAAGCCAUAGUGAAAGCUGGAGCAAGGUGCUAUUGCAAAUAUGAAGGGUGACAUGAGGAUGUGUACUUCCCACUCAUGCAGCUUAUUCAUGUCCUCUGUUUGUGUUUUGUUCCAAGCCUGGAUAUUCUGCUUCUGAAUCUGUCCACCUCUGACUUGCCAUUAUAUUAUGAGAAUAUCAAGCCACAUAGAAAGCUUCUUGUAGGUGUUCCAAUUGACAGAUCCAGUUAUGCCUAUCCAUUGAGUCAUCCUAUCCCUGGUAUAAGAAAGGCCUGAGAAGAAAGCUCUAGAUGAUCCCAGUCCCCUGCUGUUCAAAUAUUCCCAGAUAUUCCAGCCCUUACAUGAGUGUCAACUAUAUGCUCCAUUCGUCAUCAGUAUCAUCAUCAGUAAUUACAUGCUGCAAUCGGUAUUCAUUCACUGACCUCCAAAAGAGACUAGGUAUAGAUCACAAUACAAUGGACAUAAUAGGUGUGAUUCAUCGUGUAAUCAAGAAUGGAAAAUUAACAGUAAAUUGAGGUCCAGAUGCAAAGAAACUGGCUUGUUUUCUGUGUUUACACUGUGAUUGUCAGUGACCAUUAUCUGCUGGGUCCAAGUAAUACUGGAAAUAGCUUCUUCAGGUGUUCUCUACAUUUUUAUGAGAAAUGAACAGCACUUUCAUUAUAGAAAAAAAGGAGAAAAUGUUAAAAUUCGAAAUGAAGAAGUUAUCCAUGGAAUUCUUACAUUGCUAAAAGAGAGAAGGCAAGAGCAACAAGAUAAAAACAUAAAUAAAAACAAACACCAAGAGGUUGA